GCCCGCUUAGCUCAGUUGGUAGAGCGCACGCCUCACACGCGUGAAGUCGAAGGUUCGAGUCCUUCAGCGGGCA
rnacentral:tRNA from 1 species